GACGAACGCUGGCGGCGUGCCUAAUACAUGCAAGUAGAACGCACAGUUUAUACCGUAGCUUGCUACACCAUACACUGUGAGUUGCGAACGGGUGAGUAACGCGUAGGUAACCUGCCUGGUAGCGGGGGAUAACUAUUGGAAACGAUAGCUAAUACCGCAUAAUAUUAAUUAUUGCAUGAUAAUUGAUUGAAAGAUGCAAUUGCAUCACUACCAGAUGGACCUGCGUUGUAUUAGCUAGUAGGUGAGGUAACGGCUCACCUAGGCGACGAUACAUAGCCGACCUGAGAGGGUGAUCGGCCAAACUGGGACGGGGACACGGCCCAGACUCCUACGGGAGGCAGCAGUAGGGAAUCUUCGGCAAUGGACGAAAGGCUGACCGAGCAACGCCGCGUGAGUGAAGAAGGUUUUCGGAUCGGAAAGCUCUGUUGUAAGAGAAGAACGGGUGUGAGAGUGGAAAGUUCACACUGUGACGGUACCUAACCAGAAAGGGACGGCUAACUACGUG
rnacentral:rRNA from 1 species